rnacentral:rRNA from 1 species
GACGAACGCUGGCGGCGUGCUUAACACAUGCAAGUCGAACGGUAAGGCCCUUCGGGUACGACGAGUGGCGAACGGGUGGAGUAACACGUGGGUGAUCUGCCUGCACUUCGGGAUAAGCCUGGGAAACUGGGUCUAAUACCGGAUAGGACCAUGGACUUCACGGUUUGUGGUGGAAAGCUUUUGCGGUGUGGGAUGGGCCCGCGGCCUAUCAGCUUGUUGGUGGGGUAAUGGCCUACCAAGGCGACGACGGGUAGCCGGCCUGAGAGGGUGUCCGGCCACACUGGGACUGAGAUACGGCCCAGACUCCUACGGGAGGCAGCAGUGGGGAAUAUUGCACAAUGGGCGCAAGCCUGAUGCAGCGACGCCGCGUGAGGGAUGACGGCC